UUUGGGGAUUUGAAGUAGUUUAAAAGAUUUCUCACUUGAACUAUAAAGGAAAUUUUAUUUUCAAAUGUAAACAUCUAUACACAAUGAUCAUCCUGGGUUUUUUUUUUUUUUUUUUAGAACUUCUGAUUGUUCUCCGCAUCAAUACAACAUGACUUUUUUCUAAGCUUUCUAACAGACUUUUUGAUAUUCUUUGUAAUCCCCUGGCAUGUAAAUCACCUCAUUGUGUUAGAUGUUCCUUAACUCUAUUACAGAUGGUUUAAUGUAGCCUUUGAAAAACAAAGAAUACUCCUGACAGCAAUUUCACAGCACUGACAAAUAGGAAUUUUG